GCAGUUCCACUCCCGCCUGCCAGCCCUCAACUCCCGGUCGGGUUGUCUCCCCGCCGGUCUCCCGCCCCCAGCUACCGGGUCCGCCAGGGUCAGGAGCCCGAGAUUCGCCGCCCGUCGUAGCGGCCCGCUUCGGCCCCUCGGGGCCCGGGGCUCUCCGGGACCUACACAGCCCGGGAGACUCCGGCGGGGCUGCCUGCCCUCGCCCGAGCCCGGGGGCCCAAGCUGCGGCAGCGGCUCCCAACGCCUCUGCUCGAGGAGAGCGGCGGCCUGGAUGCCCCAGCGCCCUCCCUGUCCAGUUCCUUGAAGGCCCCCAAGAGGGGCGAGGCCGGGGAGGUGCUGGAGCGGGGCCAAGUGAGCUUUCGGGGCCGCGGUUGAACUGGAGUCUUGAGUGCGCUGCGGUCAGUGGAGGCCCUUCCACCCUCGCCGCGCCCCGUGGGGAAUAGUCCCCCACCUCCCGCCAUGGCUGCAGCAGGAGGAGACGACGUCCUCCAUUUUGUCGGGACAACUGUGGGAACUUGGGACCCCUCAAAACCAAACCCCGUGGGGCCAGGACUUGUCCCGGAAGCCCCGACUGGGCUCUGCCAUUCGGACAAGGGAACAGCCCCAGCUGCCGGCGUCUGCGUCCGCGGGGCAGUACUGGUCGGGCGCGACGGUGGAGACACCCAGACGCAGCUCCCCGCCUCCAUCAACCAAGAUGGAGGGAGCUGCAGGCUCCCUUGGAGCUGGGCUCUCGCGGGUUGGAGGGGCUGAGGCCUGCCCUGGGGCGUCCCUGGGCGCCGCCGUCCUGUGCUAGCAGCCCGGGGCGCUGGCCCUGCCUAGGCCUUUUUACUGCCUGCCACCGUCUCCUGGUCCGGAAUGGUUGAUGGAGACUCCAUGGAGGCUCCCUCCACAGCCCGCUCUAUCGCGGGGCGCACCCGCUGCGGCCCCUGCGGGGAGCAGAAUCAGGGACAGAUGGCGCCCGGUGAGGGCGGGCCCCACAGGCCACCUCCACGAGGGGUCUUCUCUUUUGUUCCUCGUCUACACCUACGUCUUCGGCGGAUGUCAUGGUGCUGAACCAUUUCCCGGACUCCACGUAAAGAUGGAAGCGAUUCCGCUUUCGUCUCGCCCUGGCGGUUCUUAGUGGGAUUACAAUUGAGGAUGUUAGUUUGGAUGAAAGUUGGUGAAAUACUUACCUUAUGUCUGGAAAUACAGAUAAUGUGAUUUUUAAAAAACACAUUGAGCCCCGUUUUACUUCUGUGGUAUGGUAAAGGCACAGGUUUAUUCAAUGAAAAUCAGACGUUAACCAUCUAAUGCAGGGGUGGCCAAUCUUUUGGCUUCCCGGGGCCACAUUGGAAGAAUUGGCUUGGGCCACACAUAAAAUACGCUAACAGUAACAAUAGCUGAUGAGCUAAAACAAACGAAAAAACCAAAACGCCAAAAAAAUCUCAUAACGUUUUAAGAAAAUUUACAAAUAUGUGUUGGGCUGCAUUCAAAGCCGUCCUGGGCCGCAUGCAACCCCCAAGGGCUGCAGGUUGGACAAGCUUGAUCUAAGACAAAAGCAUGUUCACGGAUUGAUGAGAGUUCUGUGUAAGCCUUUGCAUAUUGCAUAGUGCUGUAUGUCAUGGAUAUGCCUAAUAUCACCUACAUUUUUUAGGUCCUCAGUUACUCUUUGGAAAUAAGUGAAUUACAUGUAAUGUCAUCAUUUUAAUGACUGCUGUAAAUUACAAGCACUGACUACCCUGAGUUCGUGGAGAAGGGCUCCAUAGAGAAAAUUUGAAGGUCUGACAGAAACUUUAAAUGGUAAGCUCAGUAGCCACUUGUCAUCUAUUUUCUGAUUAUCUUUUUCACAAUUUUUUGGCAUUGAUACUGUUCAAAGAUUAAAAUUGGGUAACAUUUCUUUUUCCUGAUAGUGGCAGGAAUGACAGGUUCAUGUCCCAAUGAAAACGCUCACCUCAGUAUGCUGCCAUGAUUUCGAGGGUUGUCGAAAAUUUAGGAAAAAAAAGUCUUCAUUGUUCAACAAGAUAGUGUCAUUUAUUGUAAAUCUUUUGAUAAUUCAGGACUCCCGGCUAAUACAAAGUCACAGCAUUAUGACCAAGUCUACACAAAGGGGCCAGAUAGCCUGCCUUUGAAUCGUACUUUAUUACUAGUAGCUGUGUGAUCAUCUUAACAGAUAAGUUACUUAAACUCAGCCUCACUUUUAUCAUUUAAAAAAUGUAACAAAUACUUAAGAUUUUUUUUUUUUGAGAAUUAAAUGAAUUGGCCGGGCACAAUGGCCCACGCCUGUAAUCCCAGCUAUUUGGGAGGCUGAGGCAGGAGAAUCACUUGAACCCAGGAGGUGGAGGUUGCAGUGAGCCGAGACUGCAUCACUGCACUCCAGUCUGGGCAACACAGCAAGACUGUAUCUCAAAAAAAGAAAAACAAAAAACAAGCAAAAAAAGAAUUAAAUAAAUUAUCACACAUAUGACACUUAGAAUUGCACCUGGCACAUUAAUUAAUAAAAGCUUGUAAAUUUU
rnacentral:lncRNA from 1 species